UACGGAGGAUCCGAGCGUUAUCCGGAUUUAUUGGGUUUAAAGGGUGCGUAGGUGGAUUGGUAAGUCAGUGGUGAAAGUUUGCAGCUUAACUGUAAAAUUGCCGUUGAAACUGCCGGUCUUGAGUGCAAAUGAGGUAGGCGGAAUGCGUCGUGUAGCGGUGAAAUGCUUAGAGAUCACACAGAAUAUCGAUUGCGAAGGCAGCUCACAAAGCCAAGAUUGACGCUGAGGCACGAAAGUGUGGGGAUCAAACAGGAUUAGAUA
rnacentral:rRNA from 1 species